rnacentral:rRNA from 1 species
CCAAACGAGUCUCGGCAAUGGAUAUCUCGGCUCUCACAUUGAUGAAAAACGUAGCGAAAUGCGAUACUUGGUGUGAAUUGCAAAAUCCCGUAAACCAUUGAGUCUUUGAACGCAAGUUGCGCCCGAAGUCAUCAGCUCGAGGGCACGUUUACCUGGGCAUCGCAC